rnacentral:rRNA from 1 species
AACGGAGGGGGCAAGCGUUGCUCGGAAUUACUGGGCGUAAAGCGCGUGUAGGCGGCUUCCAAAGUCGGGCGUGAAAGUCCUGGGCUCAACCUGGGGAGUGCGUUCGAUACGUCGGGGCUUGAGUCUUGGAGAGGGUCGUGGAAUUCCCAGUGUAGAGGUGAAAUUCGUAGAUAUUGGGAGGAACACCGGUGGCGAAGGCGGCGAUCUGGACCAUGACUGACGCUGAGACGCGAAAGCGUGGGGAGCAAACAGG